rnacentral:rRNA from 1 species
UACGAGUGCUUCAAGCGUUAUCCGGAAUCAUUGGGCGUAAAGGGUGUGUAGGCGGUUUCGUUAGUCUUGCGUCAAAUCUCCCGGCUUAACCGGGAAACUGCGUAGGAAACGGCGAAACUUAGAGGACGGAAGAGGUCUCUGGAACUCAUGGUGUAGCGGUGAAAUGCGUUGAUAUCAUGGGGAACACCAAAAGCGAAGGCAAGAGACUGGUCCACUCCUGACGCUGAAACACGAAAGCGUGGGUCGCGAA